UACAUGCUGCCCUAGACCUACCUUUGUGAAUAUCGGUUUCUGCUAAUUUUACAUUGUAUGCCUUCAACGGUUCCAGCUUAGACAUUUAGAAACUUUCUGGUUGCACAGUGAAAGGUGAUUGGGUCAUGUGAGACUAAUAUACUUGUAUUAUAACCCUCUGUUUCUGAUACCACUAGCUGCAGGGUUCACUCAUUCCAUCAGGACACUACUUAUUUGCUCAUGCU
ensembl:snoRNA